UACGUAGGGGCCGAGCGUUGUCCGGAGUUAUUGGGCGUAAAGCGCGCGCAGGCGGCCUCGCGCGCCCGACGUGAAAGCCCCCGGCUUAACCGGGGAGGGUCGUUGGGGACGGCGGGGCUUGAGGGCGGGAGAGGUCGGUGGAAUUCCCGGUGUAGUGGUGAAAUGCGCAGAUAUCAGGAGGAACACCGAUGGCGAAGGCAGGUCUCUGGGCCGAUACUGACGCUGAGGAGCGAAAGCGUGGGGAGCAAACAGG
rnacentral:rRNA from 1 species